GAGUUUGAUCGUGGCUCAGAGUGAACGCUGGCGGUAGGCCUAACACAUGCAAGUCGAACGGUAACAGGUCUUUCGGGAUGCUGACGAGUGGCGGACGGGUGAGGAAUACAUCGGAAUCUGCUCAGUCGUGGGGGAUAACGCAUGGAAACGUGCGCUAAUACCGCAUACGACCUUCGGGUGAAAGCAGGGGAAUCUUUAGGGAUCCUUGCGCGAUUGAAUGAGCCGAUGUCGGAUUAGCUAGUUGGUAGGGUAAAAGCCUACCAAGGCGACGAUCCGUAGCUGGUCUGAGAGGAUGAUCAGCCACACUGGGACUGAGACACGGCCCAGACUCCUGCGGGAGGCAGCAGUGGGGAAUAUUGGACAAUGGGGGCAACCCUGAUCCAGCCAUACCGCGUGGGUGAAGAAGGCCUUCUGGGUUGUAAAGCCCUUUUGUUGGGGAAGAAAAACAACGGGUUAAUACCCCGUUGGUAUGAC
rnacentral:rRNA from 1 species